UGCGGCCUAGGUAUACUUGGACAAAAAGACCCCGUGGAGCUUUACUAUAACUUGGCAUCGGAAUGAUGUUCGGAAUUGUCUAGAAUAGGAGGGAGUCCGGCUUUGCCGUGACAACAGUGUAAUACCUCUCUUUUCGAGUUUCAAACCUUACCUUUGGACCCUGCAAACGGGUUUGGGGAAAGUGUCAGGCAGGUAGUUUGACUGGGGAAGUCGCUUGCUAAAGAGUAACGCGAGCGCACAAAGGUUGGCUUUUCCCGGAUGGAAAUCGGGAUGGACGUGCAAAGACACAAGCCAGCUUGACUGUGAGGCCGACGGGCCGAGCAGGUACGAAAGUAGGUCUUAGUGAUCCCCGCUGUUCUUGUGGAAGACGGCGGGCUUAACGGAUAAAAGCUACCCCGGGGAUAACAGGCUGAUCGCGUCUGAGCGUCCAUAGCGACGACGCGGUUUGGCACCUCGAUGUCGGCUCACCGCAUCCUGGGGCUGUAGAAGGUCCCAAGGGUUGGUCUGUUCGCCCAUUAAAGCGGUACGCGAGCUGGGUUCAGAACGUAGGUAACAUUGCGUUCUAUUGCAGUAAUGCAGUAAAAUGAGAACCAGAGCAAAGGUUGCGAACAUUAGUUAUUUUGCUCAAAAAAUCCCGACUAAAAUCGGUGAAACCCUCAAGAAGCUGAACUACUUCUUAGGGCAAUACCGAGGGUAAGUAAAUGAAGGUGACAAAAGCAGAAAAAGCUUAUUUUAAGCUUACUAACAACAAGUUAGUUUUAGCUUAUAUUGCAGGUUUUCUGGAUGGAGAUGGCUGUAUUAUGCUCCAAUUGGUAUUCCGGCAUGAUUAUAUGCUUGGGUACCAAAUAAGAGCAAGUAUAGUUUUUUACCAGAAGCAGCAAAAUGAAUCCUUUCUGGAGUGGUUGAAAAGUGUCUUAAAUUACGGAUAUUUAAGACGAAGAAACGACGGAAUGGCAGAGUAUACAAUUGUUGGCGUUCAACCGGUAAUUGAGACUCUAAAAAUCCUACAGCCAUUUCUUAAGUUGAAAAGGAGCCAGACAGAAUUGGCUUUAUCAAUUCUUAAGAGAAUGCCAGGAAAAGGAAGAAAACUAAGCUCAAAGCUUUUACUUGAACUUGCUAAGGAAGUUGAUAAAUUCAGAUUUUUGAAUUAUUCAAAAAAAAGAACAAACACGUCUUUGCAGGUUGAAGAAUUUUUAAGAUCACAUCAUUUAAUCCCGUAGAGACUGAUCCCUAGGUUCGCCAAACCAAGGCGAACGUAAGGUGACUACGUUCGAUUAGAAUGUAGAAAUGUCGGCUCCUGAAUUAGUAAUUGGUUUGGUUCAGGAUGAAGAUAUAGUCCAUGCCAUUAGAAAUAAUGGAUUAACAUGCGCAAGACAGUUCGGACUCUAUCCAGUAUACCCGUUUGGAUUCUUGAGGGAAGCUGACCACAGUACGAGAGGACCUGGUUGGGGGAAUCCCUGGUGUACCAGUUGUAUCAUCAGAUGCACCGCUGGGUAGCCACAUUCCUUCGUGAUAACCGCUGAAAGCAUCUAAGCGGGAAGCACAUCCCAAGAUUAGGAAUCCAUAUAGACCCCUUGUAGACUACGAGGUUGAUAGGCAACCGGUGUAAGUGCUGUAAAGCAUUCAGCCAAGUUGUACUAAUCGGUCGAGAAAAUUUAGACU
rnacentral:rRNA from 1 species